rnacentral:lncRNA from 1 species
GAAGAAACAAUGGAGAUGAGUAAGAAUAAUUAAAUGGUUUAAUUAUUUAUGGCAAGGAUUAAUUGAUAUGUUAAUUAAUCAAACGAAUAAGUUCGUUAAAGACCUCGGGAUAGUUUUGGACCUUAAGGCCCAAUGGGCUUCGAACGUCAAGCCCAUUAACUUAAGUUGUAUGACAACUUAAUGAAUAAUGAUUCACAAAGGCCCAAUUAGUCCAAAAAUAUCCCAAUGGCCGGCCAUAUUAGAGAUGGAGUGGGUUUUGGACUUAUUUACAAGUUUGCCACUCCGAUGAAUUAAGGUAUAAAUAUGACUUUAUAGCCAAAAUUCAUUAAGGGUUUUCUUUUGGAGAAAAUUGGUGAGAACUUGUCUCUCCUUUUCUCUCUAAAGAGGCCGGCCCCUUGGAGGG